GAAGAACGCUGGCGGCGUGCCUAACACAUGCAAGUCGAACGGAAAGGCCCUGCUUUUGUGGGGUGCUCGAGUGGCGAACGGGUGAGUAACACGUGAGUAACCUGCCCUUGACUUUGGGAUAACUUCAGGAAACUGGGGCUAAUACCGGAUAGGAGCUCCUGCUGCAUGGUGGGGGUUGGAAAGUUUCGGCGGUUGGGGAUGGACUCGCGGCUUAUCAGCUUGUUGGUGGGGUAGUGGCUUACCAAGGCUUUGACGGGUAGCCGGCCUGAGAGGGUGACCGGCCACAUUGGGACUGAGAUACGGCCCAGACUCCUACGGGAGGCAGCAGUGGGGAAUAUUGCACAAUGGGCGGAAGCCUGAUGCAGCAACGCCGCGUGCGGGAUGACGGCCUUCGGGUUGUAAACCGCUUUCGCCUGUGACGAAGCGUGAGUGACGGUAAUGGGUAAAGAAGCACCGGCUAACUACGUG
rnacentral:rRNA from 1 species